rnacentral:lncRNA from 1 species
GUAUUUCUUGUCUCUAAUAUUUAUUGCUUUUAAUAGUUGCAUGAACCCUAGAUUUGACUGUUAAAACAUAGAUCUGGCAAAUGUGCAAAGAUGUUUGGCUGUCACUACUGUCAGUGUUGUCACAUUUGGUGAUAAUAUUUUUUUCCGAAUUCAUGGUGUAGCAAUUAAAAAAAAUAAAUCUGCAAAAAAUGCUAAUUAAUAUCAAAGGCGGGACGUGGUAAUACAAAUUGCGGACUUCAUUAAGUUGGAGGGUCCGAGAAGUUAGCCACAUUAGAUUUUCAUAGAACGUUGAAUUGAAGUUUGACAGUGUUGCCAUGUGAUUAUAAUGUAUAUAAUGUAUAAUAUGUUGCACGCUUCAAAUAUACAGAGAAAGCUUCGAAAGAUAUUAGUUGCAGUUAAUUACUAGAAAUUUUUUUGUGGCAAUUGCCCUGAUAGAUUCCAGGAGAGAUUUGGCAACAGAGUCGGAACGUUUAAAUUUGCGUUUGCCAGAUUGCACAGAUGUUCCGCAGAUAGGUAUACAUUUUAUGACUUUCUUUUUAUUAUAUUUGUAUUAUUUGGAAUUAAUGUACCUGAAUACUGAAAUGCUCUCAGUUACUGAAAAGUGUUCACUUCGUUAGUACGCUAUUUUUAUGUUUAUUUUGUAUUUUUUUAAAUAUUAAAAUGCCUACAACUAUAUUGUAUCACGUGAAAGACUUAUAGUCCUUUUCCUUUUGACCAUAUAAAUAAGCUACAACUUCCAUUUUAGACAAAUUAUUUUUUAUAAUAGUACUGUGGACUUGUAUAUCUGUAUUUUCAGUUGCAUAUAUUCUGGAGCCUGUUAUUAUCACAGCUUUUUAAUAUUU